rnacentral:rRNA from 1 species
GACGUAGGGGGCGAGCGUUGUCCGGAUUUACUGGGCGUAAAGGGCGUGUAGGCGGUUUAGCAAGUCAGAUGUGGAAGCCCUGGGCUCAACCCAGGGAGUGCAUCUGAUACUGCUAAACUAGAGGACAGGAGAGGAGGGUGGAACUUCCGGUGUAGCGGUGAAAUGCGUAGAUAUCGGAAGGAACGCCGAUGACGAAGGUAGCCCUCUGGACUGUUCCUGACGCUGAGGCGCGAAAGCUAGGGGAGCGAACGGG